rnacentral:rRNA from 1 species
AACGAACGCUGGCGGCAUGCCUAACACAUGCAAGUCGAACGAGACCUUCGGGUCUAGUGGCGCACGGGUGCGUAACGCGUGGGAACCUGCCCUUAGGUUCGGAAUAACUCCCCGAAAGGGGUGCUAAUACCGGAUAAUGUCUUCGGACCAAAGAUUUAUCGCCUUUGGAUGGGCCCGCGUUGGAUUAGCUAGUUGGUAGGGUAAAAGCCUACCAAGGCGACGAUCCAUAGCUGGUCUGAGAGGAUGAUCAGCCACACUGGGACUGAGACACGGCCCAGACCCCUAGGGGAGGCGGGGGGGGGGAAUAUGGGACAGGGGGCAAAAGCCUGAUCCGGCAAGGCCGGGGGGGUGAUGAAGGCCUUGGGGUUGUAAAGCUCUUUUCCCCGGGAUGAAAAGGAAGGACCCGGGGGAAUAAGCCCCGGCUAACCCCGU